CAUUUCUAUGAACUGAAACACUGGUUUUGAUUUUGAAUUUGUUGAGGAGGAGACAACCCAUCGUGAGGACCGCUCUAUCAAUGAAGAACCCAUAAUUUCGUUUACAAGUGCCAUCUUCUUCUGCGGAGACUUCAAAAUAAUUGGGCUCCCCGGUCAAACCGUGGUUUAAGCUAGUUAACGCCGUCUGUGGGCGGGAAACAAAGGGGAAAACGAUUAGUCAAUAUAUAUAUGGUGACUUGCUUAAACAUGAUUAAUGAAUAUAUAUUUGAAUUUAAAAAGUAGUUUAAAUUUAGUCAUUUAUAUCAAUCCAAUAUUUAUAAUUGUAUUCUCAUGUUCUCAAAUACAAAUUCUAUUCUUAUAGAAUAUAUUCCCUAUUUGAAGCGCCA